rnacentral:rRNA from 1 species
UACGUAGGGGGCAAGCGUUGUCCGGAUUUAUUGGGCGUAAAGAGCGUGUAGGCGGUUUGGUAGGUCCGCUGUGAAAACUCGAGGCUCAACCUCGAGACGCCGGUGGAAACCAUCAGACUAGAGUCCGGAAGAGGAGAGUGGAAUUCCGUGGUGUAGCGGUGAAAUGCGCAGAGUAUCAGGAAGAACACCCGUGGCUAAGGCGGCUCUCUAGUACGGUACUGACGCUGAGACGCGAAAGCGUGGGGAGCGAACAGG